rnacentral:rRNA from 1 species
GACGUAGGGUGCAAGCGUUAAUCGGAAUUACUGGGCGUAAAGCGUGCGCAGGCGGUUCGCUAAGACAGAUGUGAAAUCCCCGGGCUCAACCUGGGAAUUGCGAUGGAGACUGCAAGGCUAGAAUCUGGCAGAGGGGGGUAGAAUUCCACGUGUAGCAGUGAAAUGCGUAGAGAUGUGGAGGAACACCGAUGGCGAAGGCAGCCCCCUGGGUCAAGAUUGACGCUCAUGCACGAAAGGCGUGGGGAGCAAACAGG